GAGGGGAAAGGCAUAGAGAAAAAGGGGAGAAGACACUCUUGCAAAAGAAGGGAGAAACAGAAGCAAUAGCUCCUUACAUUUCCUCAGAAAGGGAGAGUGAGAAAGCUUGAUUAUUUUCUAGGAAAUGGUAUGUAGAAAGGUUUGGCAGGAGGUGAGUUUAUGAGGGAAUUUGAAAGUAUUAAAGGGAAAAUUACUUCUCUGAAAAAGCAAGAAGAGUACAGAGACACAAGAGCCAAGGAGAAGAAAGUUUUGUUAUGAACAUGCUUGAAGUUUUGCCGACAUUCUGGACAUAUGUAAACAGAGUGCUCAAUGGAACAUCUGUCUGCUGCAGCCACUACUUCCUUCAUUGGACUGCAAGGUAUUUCUGUUUGGAAAAGUAAUGGAGUCCAGUCAACUUCAUUGAUCGCCAAGGACUGUCAAAAUUAUAAAACUUGCUGUGGAGCUCUGACAUGCCAGAAGCCGCUAGAAAAAGAAGUUUGACAUUCAGAAACUUAUCAAGAGGUUCUACUCUUUGGAUAGAGACCAAAAUCAUACUUUGAAGGGAUUGCAGUGGCAAAGCUAGGCUAGGUCUUGGAGGCUGGUGUAAGGCGAUGUGGGUGAAGGCAGGAGGCUGAUGGAAAGACUGGGGGGAAGAAAAGCCGAAAUGGAUUCACGGUGCCUUGGAUGAAGGACGAGAGGGGAACUGCAAGCUCCUUCAACUGGUUCUGUCCGGUGAGAAGUGAUCAAGCUUGGGCUGACAAGAGGCUCAGGGAGCCCUCACGUUCUUUCGCUUUUUUACCUGCCAAUCAAACUGCUACAAGACAACACCCUGAUCUGGCAUGGACAUCGCGGGUCCAAGCCUGUAGCCCCAAAUCGGAUAAUCUCUGCAGCUGAUAACAAGCAAAAGAGAAGCCAGGCAACAGCCAUAUUAAAGAAGAAAACAAUCAACUCUGAGGCGGAGUCUCGCUCUGUUGCCUAGGCUGGAGUGCAGUGGCACAAUCUUGGCUCACCACAACCUCCACCUCCCAAGUUCAAGGGAUUCUCCUGCCUCAGGCUCCUGAGUAGCUGAGAUGACAAGCUCCCACCACCAUGCUCAGCUAAUUUAUCCAACUUAGAAAUAAUGUUUCAUUCAAGAUAAGGCUCGUGGCUUAGGAGAUUGUGACCUGGCUUGCAUCAUUCUAAGACUUCUAUCGUCUGUUUUCAAAACCCAAGGAGGACCUCCUUUUCUGUGUGAUAGUUCCUCAUGCUUUGCCAGCCACUGGGUCUUUAAGGAAGCUUGCCAAGAGUUCCCGGCUGGGAAGGACAGUUCGAGUUCAUCAUAGACAAUGAGCUGGCACCACAGUUUAAGUGACUCACCAACCUGGUUGCCCACUUCAAAAUGUCAAGAACCACACUAUCUAAUUGAAAGAACUGUGUUUUAGCAAAGUGUAAUUGGAUCGCCUGGCAAGAUCAUCUCAAACUAUGUCUCUGACCUUGCCUUUCAGUGGCUAUUUUGAGCACAAGAGGAGAAAGGAAAUGAUUCCUGAAUUAUAUCUUGUUUUUAAAAAUUAAGAUUAAUUAAUACUUGGUUUUAUGUUCAUUCCAUUGUAGGAACUUAGUGAUUAUUACAAAACAGUCAAAAUAGGUCAUAGCAAAAUGAACGUUUAAGAUUAGGUUAAAACAUUCCUCUGAAAUUUUAGUAUUCACUUUUGAAGUGUCAAUUACUAUAUUUCUGUAAUUUCUCAUUUUUUUCUUGGCUUAGAGUCAAGAUGAAAAAUGAUAUUUGAAUCAAAGACAUUGUUUUGUUAUAUAGCCACUCCUUUCUAAAAUGCAAAUCCACCCUCCCCUCACCAAUGCUUUAUUCUUUGUGCGCGCACACACACACACACACACACACACACACACACACACACACAGACAUACACAGAACCAGCACCCAAAUGGUAGAGGAGGUCCUUCCAAGACUUCUAGGACCUGGAUCAUGUAAGCAGUAGAUGAGAAAAUGAAGUAAGAGAUAUAGAGUAAUAACAAUAAAAGUCAAUGAUUUCAUUUUACAAAAAAGUCAUUGUGUAGUACUCAGAUAUUUUUAAGAGCAAGUAUUAUUAUGACUAAAGUAUAUUAUACUUCUAAAUUAUUAUGAUUCUCAUCUAAUUUCAAGCCACACAUAGGCGCCAUUUGAAAGCAUUUUGUGUUACAACCUAUCAACAAAAAUCAACUAAUAGUUUUAUAACGUGCAUAGGUUUACCCCAUGGGGAAUUAAAAUUUUUAUCUGCAAGUAUUUCUGUUGUUGUGAGACUUUAGGACAAGACAACAUUUGGUGUUAACAUAGAAGAAUAUUCUAUGGCUUUUUUAGCUUUAAAGUUCAUUACUCUAAAAUAAAGUACACGUGGUAUUUUUUUCUUCCUAGUGUUCUCUUAUUAUAUGUAGAGUAUUUUCGGUUGUUGUUUUUAACGUAUACAUUAUUUUUAUUAAGUCAUUUCAUAAAAGAUAAGAUAUAUACUAAUAGACCCUUGGUUUUCUCCUAAUUUAAUUAUUUCAAGUCAAGCAAAAUUGGGCAAUUUUCUUUCAGGAAAAAAAAAAUAUUGAGCAUGAUUUUGAGGUAAAACUGAUUAUUUACAGCAUCUUUUCUCUAAUAGGCUAACAUUUAUGAUGGAUCUUAUUUCAAAGUUGAUUAUUCUCAAAGAAAAGUGGAGAUAUUAGAAUUUCCGAGUAAAUUGCAUUGUUUUAAAAAGUACUUUAAUGCAUUGUUCACAUUGUUGCCAGCUAUUGACCAAAAAAGAGAAGAAGAAAAAAGAAAUAAAAAAAGCAGUAUCUGCUCCAAACGUCAAGUUUUGCAGUUUGAAAGACUUGUACAUUAUAAUUGUUUUUUUCUUUUUUGGAAAGCAGUAGUAAUUAAUACCAAAGGCAUAGACAAUUUAGGGCCAUAACCUCCCUUCCCCCCUCUCCACCUUUUUUUUUUUUUUUUUUUUUUUUUAACUUUAACCAUGAUAGGCAUCUCUGCAAGGUAGGUUUUAACAUAUUUUUUUCCUAAUUUUUUUCCCUCCAUUCAGUAAGAAGGAUAAGCUUUUAGAGUACCCAGUCACCGUGGUAACUGCCAAAAAAAUUCUCCUGAAGUUUGAAGAGGUCAGCUAGCAGGGUCAACAACCCUGGCCUCUCUCUGAGCUCGGUCUAGCAUGCCCCAGCCUGCGGUUGGAGUGUCAGGCCAGAUCUGACCCUGGGAGGUGGACCAUUCUGGCUCUGAUAUAAAUUUUUCGAGUCAGUUCAUGGCCUGGACUCUCCAGGUGGCCUCCAAAAUCGAUUUUGACCCCCUGACCCUGUCUCACGGAGGCAUAGCAUCCACCCUAAGUAAGGAUUUAGCCAGGAAUGACAGCUUUCCACUGAGUGUUAUUGGGGACAGUAUAAACAGUUUGGAAAGCAAGUAAGGAGGUGUGAGGGCUAGCAAUCAUUAAAAGCACAUUAAAAAACAAUUUUUAAAAAUCUUUAUUAGAGAAAGUUGUAAAUGCAUAUCUGUUACAGAAUUCCUGUGAUUUGUAGAGUUUUCUAGUCAGUUUUGAAUAUAAAUAGGUCACAUAUCUUUAUCUUUUUGCAUACUUUGUUACAAAUAUGCAAAUAAGAUAGGCAUACUUGCUACAAAAUAGGUACAGCAGGAAUGUAAUAUGUUCAGAAAAGGCAAACUGGUUAUUAAAACACAUUAACAGGUAAGGAGUUUCUAAUAUUUUAAAUACUAAAAUUUUACAUGUGUAUUUUGAAGUUUUUAAAAUGGAAAAAUAAAGAACCUUUAAAAAACCCAACAGUGUGGAAUAAAGAUAAACUUGUUGCACUCAAGGUACAUUUCUACUUUGUAAAGCAAGAAGCCAAUACACUCAGUUGGAUAAAAAUGAGAGAAAAAUUGUAAAUAUAGAGAGUUACAGCUUAUAGAGCUGAAGAGGAAUAAAACAAAAAAAAGUGUCUCUGAAUAACUUUAUGUAUUUUCAACAGUUUAAGAUAUCAGAAACUUGGAAAAUAAAUAUGAUAUAUAUAUAAAUCAUCA
rnacentral:lncRNA from 1 species